GAUUAGGAGGGGUGGCCCCAAAUGGUAGUCUCUAGGGCAAAUUCUCCUGGCCUGAUUGGAGCGCAGGCGCAGUCAGGACGACAACUGCGUGUUAAGGACUUUAACCCUAACAGUGCUGCAGAAUAAAGAAGCUUGUCCUUUUUUGGUUGAGAAGAAGAGACAGAAAAAUCCCUGGGACUAAUUGCCAGCAAGUCUAGCAAAACCAGUGAGCUCCAGGCCAAUGAAAAGGCUGUGUCUCAACAAACAAGACUCACUCCAAUUCAUCCCAACUAGCAAGACUUCAACCAAGAACUCCACAGUAUCAGGGUUUCUCUGUGAUAGAACUUUCUCUG